UAUUGCACAAUGGGCGAAAGCCUGAUGCAGCAACGCCGCGUGAGCGAUGAAGGCCUUCGGGUCGUAAAGCUCUGUCCUCAAGGAAGAUAAUGACGGUACUUGAGGAGGAAGCCCCGGCUAACUACGUGCCAGCAGCCGCGGUAAUACGUAGGGGGCUAGCGUUAUCCGGAAUUACUGGGGGUAAAGGGUGCGUAGGUAGUUUCUUAAGUCAGAGGUGAAAGGCUACGGCUCAACCGUAGUAAGCCUUUGAAACUGGGGAACUUGAGUGCAGGAGAGGAGAGUGGAAUUCCUAGUGUAGCGGUGAAAUGCGUAGAUAUUAGGAGGAACACCAGUUGCGAAGGCGGCUCUCUGGACUGUAACUGACACUGAGGCACGAAAGCGUGGGGAGCAAACAGG
rnacentral:rRNA from 1 species